GAUGAACGCUGGCGGCGUGCCUAAUACAUGCAAGUCGAGCGAACGGACGAGAAGCUUGCUUCUCUGAUGUUAGCGGCGGACGGGUGAGUAACACGUGGAUAACCUACCUAUAAGACUGGGAUAACUUCGGGAAACCGGAGCUAAUACCGGAUGAUAUUUUGAACCGCAUGGUUCAAAAGUGAAAGACGGUCUUGCUGUCACUUAUAGAUGGAUCCGCGCUGCAUUAGCUAGUUGGUAAGGUAACGGCUUACCAAGGCAACGAUGCAUAGCCGACCUGAGAGGAGGGGCAGCCAGAAGGGAACGGAGACGCGGUCGGAACGACAACGGGACGCAGAAGCGGGGAAUAUGGGACAAGGGGCGGAAGGAUGAACCAGCCAUACAGAGGGGGUGAAGAAGGCAGUAGGUACGGAAAGACCUUUUGUCGGGAAAGAAAAGAAGAGCGAGAACAAACCGCGUGCCGGAAGGUAGGAAAAGAAGAAGAAAAGGCGAAAUUCGUG
rnacentral:rRNA from 1 species